AGAGUUUGAUCAUGGCUCAGAGUGAACGCUGGCGGCGUGCCUAACACAUGCAAGUCGAACGAUGAUUGGAGAGCUUGCUCUUCAUGAUUAGUGGCGCACGGGUGAGUAAUGCAUAGGUAAUGUGCCCCUUAGAGGGGGAUAGCCACUGGAAACGGUGAUUAAUACCCCAUACUCCUUCUGGUCAUAAGGCCAGUCGGGAAAUGUUUUUCGCUAAGGGAUCAGCCUAUGUCCUAUCAGGUAGUUGGUGAGGUAACGGCUCACCAAGCCAAUGACGGGUAUCUGGUUUGAGAGGAUGAUCAGACACACUGGAACUGAGACACGGUCCAGACUCCUACGGGAGGCAGCAGUGAGGAAUAUUGCACAAUGGAGGAAACUCUGAUGCAGCAACGCCGCGUGGAGGAUGACGCAUUUCGGUGUGUAAACUCCUUUUAAGAGGGAAGAUUAUGACGGUACCUCUUGAAUAAGCACCGGCUAACUCCGUGCCAGCAGCCGCGGUAAUACGGAGGGUGCAAGCGUUACUCGGAAUCACUGGGCGUAAAGGGUGCGUAGGCUGACUUUUAAGUCAGGCGUGAAAUC
rnacentral:rRNA from 1 species